rnacentral:rRNA from 1 species
UACGUAGGGGGCAAGCGUUGUCCGGAUUUAUUGGGCGUAAAGCGCUCGCAGGUGGUUCGAUGCGUCGUGCGUGAAAGACCCCCGGCUCAACUGGGGAGUGUCGUGCGAUACGGUCGGACUGGAGGCCAGUAGGGGGAGUGCGGAAUUCCAGGUGAGCGGUGAAAUGCGUAGAUAUCUGGAGGAACAUCGGUGGCGAAGGCGGGCAUC